UUGGAUCCAGACUUUGAUCCUGGCUCAGGAUGAACGCUGGCUACAGGCUUAACACAUGCAAGUCGAGGGGCAGCAUAAACUUAGCUUGCUAAGUUUGAUGGCGACCGGCGCACGGGUGAGUAACGCGUAUCCAACCUUCCGUACACUCAGGGAUAGCCUUUCGAAAGAAAGAUUAAUACCUGAUGGUAUGAUGAGAUUGCAUGAUAGCAUCAUUAAAGAUUUAUCGGUGUACGAUGGGGAUGCGUUCCAUUAGGUAGUAGGCGGGGUAACGGCCCACCUAGCCAACGAUGGAUAGGGGUUCUGAGAGGGAGGUCCCCCACAUUGGAACUGAGACACGGUCCAAACUCCUACGGGAGGCAGCAGUGAGGAAUAUUGGUCAAUGGACGAGAGUCUGAACCAGCCAAGUAGCGUGAAGGAUGAAGGUCCUACGGAUUGUAAACUUCUUUUAUAAGGGAAUAAACCCUCCCACGUGUGGGAGCUUGUAUGUACCUUAUGAAUAAGCAUCGGCUAACUCCGUGCCAGCAGCCGCGGUAAUACGGAGGAUGCGAGCGUUAUCCGGAUUUAUUGGGUUUAAAGGGAGCGCAGACGGGUCGUUAAGUCAGCUGUGAAAGUUUGGGGCUCAACCUUAAAAUUGCAGUUGAUACUGGCGUCCUUGAGUGCGGUUGAGGUGUGCGGAAUUCGUGGUGUGGCGGUGAAAUGCUUAGAUAUCACGAAGAACUCCGAUUGCGAAGGCAGCACACUAAUCCGUAACUGACGUUCAUGCUCGAAAGUGUGGGUAUCAAACAGGAUUAGAUACCCUGGUAGUCCACACGGUAAACGAUGGAUACUCGCUGUUGGCGAUAUACUGUCAGCGGCUUAGCGAAAGCGUUAAGUAUCCCACCUGGGGAGUACGCCGGCAACGGUGCAACUCAAAGGAAUUGACGGA
rnacentral:rRNA from 1 species